UGGGGUUCACGGACAGGCUGGGGGCACUCGGGGUGGGGGCGCAGGCAGCCGGGAAGGCACAUGGGUGCAGAGCGCCCUUUCCCCGCAGCCCUGCCGAGCGCUGGCUCGUGACCCCCGAAGCCCCGAGUCGCAAGCGCUGGUCUCGUUUGUUCAUCUCCUCCCAGACUUCCUCAAGGCGGCCUUUCCGCCUGCGGCAAAAUUCAGAUCCCUAGAAUGUUCUUUCCUGGCCCAGCUUAUGCUUAGAAGAGAGAAGGAAGCGUUUGUCCUCUCGCCACCAUCUCGUGGAGGCCUGGGAACUCGCGAGGACCUGCAAGAGCUGAUGGCCGGUGUGAUGAUGAAUGGGCUGGGAAAACGAGGUGCCCGGACACCAGGGCACACACCUGGUUAUCAAUAACACCACUCCUGCCGUGGGAGUGGGGGAGCGCAGGAGACAGGUGCUGAGUGCAGUAAGCCAGACUGAAGGGCAGACGCCUGUGUCCCGGCUCAACCUGAACCAGACGUCCACACUGCAGGGAGCCGUAGACGGAGAGGCAGAGAAUGGCAGAUGCCAGGAACAGCUCCAGGACGGUGGGAGUGGGGAUUCCUGAACGCCGAAAUGCAGGCAACCAAUAUUAAAGUUCAAGAUCUGGCUCUGCAGUUAAAUAUACUGGGGGUUGGAGUCCUGACUGGUAACCUUGGAUACAUUAUUUAACCUUGCUCUCUGGUUUUGCAUUCCAGUCUUGAGAGAGAAUCACCAGGGCAAAAUACUGCAUGUCAAUAUAACCUCGGCCCAGAGGCCCAGCAGCCAGACCACGACUUCUUAGCCAUCUUAAUCUAGCAAGCCCAACUACCUGCAACCAGUGACCCAGAAUGCUUUGGAUUGCUGUGUCCAGCCGAGCAAGGUGGGCAGAAAGUCAGGCUGAAGUUUCAUUUUGUGUGGGAAACAACAUGAAAA